GCCGGCUACAUCGGCAGCCACACCGUCCUCCAGCUUCUCCAACUCGGCUUCCGCGUUGUCGUCCUCGACAACCUCGACAACGCCUCCGAGCUCGCCAUCCUCCGCGUCAGGGAACUCGCCGGACACAACGCCAACAACCUCGACUUCCGCAAGGUCUUCCUUCCUUCCUUCCUUCCUUACUUAAUUCUCUCUCUCUCUCUCUCUACAUUAGAUUCUGAUUUUGCGGUUCCUUUUAUUAAUUUAACAAAACAAAACAACCAUUCCCAUCUCGAUAAGCGGCGCGCGGCGAUAUAUCAUAACUUGUCUUUUUGAUUAGAUUGAAAUGAAAUCAAUUGGAUUGGAUUAAUCAUCUCAUCUAGUCAACAUAUUACUAGUUACUUAUAUCUGUAUUCGGGCGACACAAAUCCAAAUAGUAACUACUCCUCUUCCUCCUUAGUAAUGGAAAGUUAGAGUUCCUACAAAUAUUUUUGUUUGAAUUGGAGUUGUAGUCGUUCGUUUUCAUGGGGAGGCGGUCAAUUGAAUUGAAUUGAAUUGAGUUGGUGGAGUAGUAGUGGAAAUGGGAAAAAAAAACCCAAGGAGGGAGGGAGGGAGGCGUUGGAAGGCGCCGGACGCGUUGUUCCCGCCCCCCUGCUUCAUUUCUGUUUUGAUUUUUCAUGGCCAAGCACACAACGCAUGCACCACCCACCCCACAUACGUUCCUUCUACUUUCUUUCCACCCAUAUAUAAAAAGAUCCUUUACAAUCCACAUCUCAAUCUCAAAUAUAAAUAGGAUUAUUAAUACUAAUAAGCUCAUUCCCCUGGUGCAUUGCAUACUCAUAAAAUUUCUUGCUUAAAGGACUCAAAAUCUAUCUUAGACUAAUAUAACAUAUAAAUUAUUAUGCAGGUUGACCUCCGCGACAAGCAAGCGUUGGACCAAAUCUUCUCCUCUCAAAGGUUGGUUAGUCUUCCUUGCUCCUUCAAUUUGCACUUAAGUACCUACCUUUAAUUUGUUUUCAUUUUUGGUUAGCAGCGUGACACCGUAAAUUUCAGCAUAAUAUAUAUACAAACUAUAGCUAUUAAACUAUUUCAGCAUAAUUUCAUCGGUCGGUCGGUCGGUCGGUCGUUUAUUCCAUGAAUCAAAUCAAAUCGAUCAUUGUCAAAAUAAUUACUCCUCAUCAUGUAUUACAAGUAUUCUGGACCUAGCUAGCUGCUCAGCCAGCCUGCCAGGUCAAGAAUCUGGUGCUUGGCCAGUUUAAUUUGCAGCCGUCUAUCACGCACGGUAGCUGUCACGCUCAUAGUACCAACCAACGAACCGAACCUUCCUUGUGGAAUUAAUGCAUUACUAUAUAUCACAGGUGACAGUCCAUCCCUUUUGUACCCAACCGCGUAGUAUACUGGAGUACUAAUAAGCAAUACUAUGAUGAAUGAAAUGAAGAGUAGUAGUAGGUAUUAUUAUCUGUUUUGGCGAAGAUUUGAGACGGACGGACGCUGGUCUGCUUGGCUGCAGGUUUGAGGCUGUCAUCCAUUUUGCCGGGCUGAAAGCUGUUGGCGAGAGCGUGCAGAAGCCCCUGCUUUACUACGACAACAACCUCAUCGGCACCAUCACUCUCCUGCAGGUCAUGGCCGCACAUGGCUGCACCAAGGUACAGCCCCCGCACCAUUUCAUUUAUUUUUCUCCCAUUGUUUUGCUUUGCCUAUAUGUAUAUGCGUGCCUCUUGCUGGCUUUAUUGGUUGGCUGGCCUGGCUCUUCUUUGCAUUGCUGGGGGUCACAGGAUAUACCUUAUGCCUUUUUGCAUUGCUGGGGAACACAGGAACAUAUACCACAGAUUACCUACCUAUCACAACCACUCUGUGUCUGUGUGUGUUGUUUGCCAUGCAUGAUGCACGGGAAUAUAACCCUCCCCUCUUAAAAUUGCUGCCUGCCUGGUCCCACUCCCAGCCAAGAUUUUUUUUUUUGUUCUCUUCCUACUGCCCUCUGAUUUUUCUUCUUCCUUUCAUCUUGUUUUGGUUGGUUGGUUGGUUCUGAGCUUACUCUGGAGGCGGCAUCGCAACAGAUUUAUACUUACUUAAUCCACUAAAAGUAAACAUAUAUGCUUUAGUUUUUAAUAAUGGACAUAAUCAUAAGCUAUUUUGCUCCGGCCAGCUGGUGUUCUCAUCAUCCGCAACUGUCUACGGGUGGCCCAAGGAGGUGCCCUGCACUGAAGAAUCCCCACUUUGUGCAAUGAACCCCUACGGCAGAACAAAGGUACUCCAGUUUUUUCUCUUCUGUUAUACUAUAUUCAGUUCAAUCAUCAUGCCUAGGAUCAAUCAAUCAAUAAAUCCUAAUUAAGCCAAACAACAUAUAUAUGAUAUGAUAUGAUUGCAGCUGGUAAUCGAAGACAUGUGCCGGGAUCUGCAUGCCUCAGACCCAAACUGGAAGAUCAUACUGCUCCGAUACUUCAACCCUGUUGGAGCUCACCCAAGCGGGUACAUUGGUGAGGACCCCUGCGGCAUCCCAAACAACCUCAUGCCCUUCGUCCAGCAGGUCGCUGUUGGCAGGAGGCCGGCCCUUACCGUCUAUGGAACCGACUACAACACCAAGGAUGGAACUGGGGUAUGUAUAUGCAUUAUUCAUUCAUUCUCAACAAUCAGUCGUAUAUGAUUUACUAAUUAAUUUUAUUCCUU
rnacentral:lncRNA from 1 species